rnacentral:rRNA from 1 species
GCCCCACUCUAGCCCAACUAGCCAAAAACUAGACAUUUAAGUAACAAAAGUCUAUAACUUCACCAAACUAAAACAUUCUCAUACCCCAGUAUGGGCGACAGAAAAGGUUAAUCUAAUGAUUGGCGCUAUAGAAAUUAAUGUACCGUAAGGGAAAGAUGAAAUAAAAAUGAAAACCCAAGCCACAAAUAGCAAAGAUUAACCCUUGUACCUUUUGCAUCAUGAUUUAGCAAGAAUUAACCAGGCUAAAUGAAUUUAAGCCCGCCGCCCCGAAACCCAAGCGAGCUACCCGCGAGCAGCUGUUUACGAGCAAACCCGUCUCUGUUGCAAAAGGGUGGGACGACUUGCUGGUAGUGGUAAAAAGCCAACCGAGCUGGGUGAUAGCUGGUUACCUGUAAGAUGAACCUAAGUUCCCCCCUGAUUGUUCUCAGUGCAGGCAACUUACUUUCUAACCUUGCUGUAGCUAUCAGGAGAUACUUAAAGGAGGUACAGCUCCUUUAAAAAAGAAUACAAUCUCCACAAGAGGAUAACCUUAUAAGCACUACUACAUCUGUAGGCCUUCAAGCAGCCACCAACAAAGAGUGCGUCAAAGCUCUCCACCUAAAAAAUUUAUAAACCAAUAUGACUCCCUCCACAUUAACAGGUUAAUCUAUCAGCCUAAUAGAAGAACUAAUGCUAAAAUAAGUAACUAGGGACCCUCCCUCUAAGGCGCAAACUUACAUCCUACAUUGUUAACAGACCCACUAAUACUCACAACCCAACAAGACCCGGUAUCAAAUCUACUGUUGACCCAACUCAGGAGCGCCCCUAAAAGGAUUAAAAUCUGUAAAAGGAACUAGGCAAACCCAAGGCCCGACUGUUUACCAAAAACAUAGCCUUCAGCUAGCCAAGUAUUGAAGGUGAUGCCUGCCCAGUGACCCAUGCUUGUUUAACGGCCGCGGUAUCCUAACCGUGCAAAGGUAGCGCAAUCAAUUGUCUCAUAAAUCGAGACCCGUAUGAAUGGCUAAACGAGGUCUUAACUGUCUCUUACAGAUAAUCAGUGAAAUUGAUCCCCCUGUGAAAAAGCAGGGAUAACCACAUAAGACGAGAAGACCCCGUGGAACUUCAAAAUCAGCAGCUACUCGUCAUUCUACGACCCCCUAACCCAGGUUCACCCCUAGACAUAUUAGCCUGUAUUUUUUGGUUGGGGCGACCUCGGAGAAAAACAAAUCCUCCAAAAACAAGACCACAUCUCUUAACCAAGAUCAACACCUCAACGUGCUAAUAGCAACCAGACCCAAUAUAAUUGAUUAAUGAACCAAGCUACCCCGGGGAUAACAGCGCAAUCUCCUUUAAGAGCCCAUAUCGACAAGGAGGUUUACGACCUCGAUGUUGGAUCAGGACAUCCUAAUGGUGCAGCCGCUAUUAAGGGUUCGUUUGUUCAACGAUUAACAGUCCUACGUGAUCUGAGUUCAGACCGGAGUAAUCCAGGUCGGUUUCUAUCUAUGACUAACCUCUUCUAGUACGAAAGGACCGAAGAAGUAAGGCCAAUGUUACACCCAUGCCUUCCCCUCAAGUAAGGAACACAUCUCAACUACCAAGAGGCUACCUACCCAUAUAUCCUAGAAAAGGAUGCUUUAGCUAGCGUGGCAG